AGGUCAUGGUUUUCCACUGAUUAAUCUGCAUAGCUGAGAUCUUGUUCUCCUCAAGGGCAUCCAGCUGACUGCCAAAACGACAAAAAGAGGUGGUAUCAAACCACAGGAAUGGAGUGCAUUGGCUGUUGUGCAACAGGCUGGGAAGGUGAAGCAGUGAAGUGAAGCAGAGCAGUGGCUCAGAGAACCAUGUAUUUUAAUAGCUCUCCUCAAUGUGUGCAUAUUGAAAUGACAAAGGUUUCCUCUCAAGAUAAAGCUCUGAAAUGUUCAUUUGAAGUCUGUCUGCUCAGGCUUUGUCCCCCUUAUGGGUUUUGCAUAGCACUCAGAGGCAGAAGUAAAUUAGGGUAGGGGAU